rnacentral:rRNA from 1 species
GAUGAACGCUGGCGGCGUGCCUAAUACAUGCAAGUCGAGCGAACAGACGAGGAGCUUGCUCCUCUGACGUUAGAGGCGGACGGGUGAGUAACACGUGGAUAACCUACCUAUAAGACUGGGAUAACUUCGGGAAACCGGAGCUAAUACCGGAUAAUAUAUUGAACCGCAGGGUUCAAUAGUGAAAGCCGGUUUUGCUGGCACUUAUAGAUGUCUCCGCGCCGCAUUAGCUAGUUGGUAAGGUAACGAGUUACGAAGGCAACGAUGCGUAGCCGACCUGUGAGGGGGGUCGGCGACCUUGGAACUGGGACACGGUCCAUACGCCUACGGGAGGCAGCAGUAGCGAAUCGUCCGCAAUGGGCGGAAGUCUUGCGGAACGGCCCCGCGUGAGAGACGAAGAUCUUCCGAUCGGAAAACUCUGUUUUGAGUGAAGAACAAAUUUGUACGGAACUAUGCACGGCGUGACCGUUACUUGUCAGAAAGCCACCGCUAACUACGUU